rnacentral:rRNA from 1 species
GCUUACGGCCAUACACCUGAACACGCCCGAUCUCGGAAGCUAAGCAGGGUCGGGCCUGGUUAGUACUUGGAUGGGAGACGCCUGGGAAUACCAGGUGCUGUAAGCU